AAACAUAUAUAUACAUAUCAUAUGGUCUAGGAUUAGGUGCAGUCGAAAAAUUCAUGCAGUCACACAGUCAGAUAUCGAUGACUGUUUGAUUAAAAUUAGACGAUUCUGAUUUAAGUGUAAUAUUUUUUUUAAAAUAUUAAACAAAAAUUACAUGUUCUUUUUUAUAUGUUGUAUGAUCUUAAUCAGACGGUCAGAAAACUUGUGAUUGCAUCGAAUCAUCGACUACAUUGAAUCCAUUUCUCAUAUCAUAUAUAUACGUAUACCUAAGUCCUAGCCUCCCUUUAAUUUUUCCUUUAACCUUAAUACUCAUCUCAAAGAAAAAGGCAUAAAAAAUGGAGCAAGAGAAGAAUAAGAGAGCAAGAGAAUAUGAUGAUGUUGAAGCUAAGAUUUGGUUUUCUUUAGAGAAUAAUAACAAAAAAGCUAAAAAAAGCAAAAGCUUCAACAAAGACAAGAAUGAAGUUGAAGACAAAAAUUGUUUAGCAUUUGGAGUGUUUGAUUUUCCUUGGUUGAAAGAUGGUGUUAUAUGCAAAUCAGAAGAAUGUUUCAUGGAUUUUGAAGAUAAUUUUUUGUCAUUAUUACAAAACCAAGAUACUUGUUUCAAAGUUUCUUCUAGCAAUGAUUUUUUUGAGACAUCAAUGGUUCAUAUUCAAGAAUCUAAGUUGAUGGAAGAUGUUUGGCUUCCAUUUGAGAUUAAUGGAUUAGAGCUUGAAGAAGAGGAUUUGGAUUGUAUUUUGAGCUCUUUGCUAAAUAAUUAAAGCCUCUUUCACACAAUACAAUCAAAUAUCAUAGGGUAAUUUUUUUUUAAUGUUAUUAUUAUUAGUCCUAGAUUCAAUCUUCAUCAUAGAUAAAUAUAUAUCAACCUUGUAUUACAAAUGGGUUAUUUGAAACAAAAUCGAACAAUUUUUUGUCAGAAUUCAGAUGGUUAACACAGUUUAAAUAUAUGGUUAAUUACGUUUAGUAGAUGAUUAGUUGAUAUGAUAAGGUGCUGAAACUCAUUAGUUAAUCAUCUAUUAAACACAAUUAACCAUGACUUUGAACGUCAUUAAGCAUGAUUUCAACGUCGUUAACCAUGAUUUUCUUUGCCUGUAUUUUCCACCUUAUGGAGGCAUUAUUUGGAUAAGCUAUGCCAUGAUUAUUUUUGUUAAGCUUUUUCUUUCAUUUUCUUGUAUGCUAUAGAAUUCAAUAUUUUUCUGCA